ACAUGCAGAGAACUUUCCAGAGAUGGAUUGGUGCCUUCGGGAACGUCUGACACAGGUGCUGCAUGGCUGUCGUCAGCUCGUGUCGUGAGAUGUUGGGUUAAGUCCGUAACGAGCGCAACCCUUGUCCUUAGUUACCAGCACGUUAUGGUGGGCACUCUAAGGAGACUGCCGGUGACAAACCGGAGGAAGGUGGGGAGUGACGUCAAGUCAUCAUGGCCCUUACGGCCUGGGCUACACACGUGCUACAAUGGUCGGUACGAAGGGUUGCCAAGCCGCGAGGUGGAGCUAAUCCCAUAAAACCGAAUCGUAGUCCGGAUCGCAGUCUGCAACUCGACUGCGUGAAGUCGGAAUCGCUAGUAAUCGUGAAUCAGAAUGUCACGGUGAAUACGUUCCCGGGCCUU
rnacentral:rRNA from 1 species